UGCCAGUUUUCUUUGUCUUUUGAUAGUUUGCUUAAUUUUGAGGGGGGUGUGAUCUAUUUUUCACAUUUAUUUUAAUUCGCUUCUAUCGUGCUCAUAAGUCGGUUUUUGUAUUCGCCUUUUUUGUCCUUAUUAUUUCCACUUUCUACUUCUUUUCUUCGUCAAGUGACUAAAAUAAAGAAAAGAAAAAUCGUAAAAGAAAAAGAAGAAAGAUCUCGCCUUUUGUCUCAAUAAAGAAAAACACUUUUAUUUACGCUUGCCCCGUGUGACGCACCGCAAAAAACAACAACAAAAAAAAAAAACGAAAAAUGCAGCCCGAAAAAAUACGUCUCGUAUCCUCUCUCUUCCAGAAACAGCAUGGCGGGUACGUGCUGGUGACGCCCUCGCACGGGGUCAGUUACCCGAGCACCUCCCACAUCCGCGCCGCCGUCAGGAAAGCGGGUCUACGGCAGGCUGGAGGCUCCUUGCCCAUCGUCAUUGACUGCACGUUCAUUGAUGUGGCGGAUUAUACGUCAGCCAAGGGCAUCAAGGGCAUGAUCGAAGACUUCCAGAGACGGGGUCAAGUCCUGGUGUUCGUGGGCCUCAAACCGCGCGUCAUGGAGACCAUCAGCGCUCUGCACGAAGGCGUCACUGUGUGUCCUUGCUUCGAGCAGCUGGACGAAAUCCUGGCAGACGGCCAGACGGAGGAGACGCUCGGGGCUCUGAACGGCGGCGAGAGGAACGUAGGGGGCGUGGUCUUGUCGAGCAUGAUAGCCACGCCCACUUCGGACACCAGCGAGGCGGCCAACCCGCUGCUCUCCACCACCACUUUCCAUGAGCAUAAAUAACCCCCUUCUCAUAAGGGGCACUUGAUCCCCUCCCGGCCUCCCCCUAUAGCCCUCGCCCUCACGCCAUUCCAAAGCAUAUUCCAGUUUCAAGGUUUUGGACUCCAACUUUUUCUAAUGAACUAAAAAGCCCGCAGGGUGGAAAGGCAUGUUUGGAAAAGGUCGUAUGAAUUUAGUAAUAUAUUUUGUACCAAGGCUUCUCUAGCUCGGGGAAUUGGAUACUAGUUAUAGACUGAGGAAGACGAUUGGAAUGACGUUUGCGAUAUCGUUUGCGUGUCACAUUUCGGCAAUUUUUUACCACAGUCACCGCUAGAAAAAGCCAAACAAAACAUUACAGUUCGAUAAGCGUAGCAAAGACAAGUAUCUGACUGGAGUCUUGGCCACUGGAGGUCUAUCCAUGGCUUUAGCAGAUGAGGACCCAGCUGUAUAGUAAGAGGUCAUGAACCCGCUGUAUGGUGAGGGGGCCUAUCUCGGCUGUGGUGAAGAGGCGUGGAUCGGCUGUGUUGAAGGGGCGUGGCUCGGCGCGUGAUGAACAAGGUCUCAGCGAAAAGCCAAGAACGUGAACAUGAACAUUCCUCACUAUGUCACGAACUUGGUACACUUUAUAUAUACAUGUAUAAAAAGCCUGUUAUUCUUAGGAAGAAGGAAUGCAUGUUAUUGGAUAGCAAUAAGGGUACCGUUUCUUUAUGAAGGAAAAAUAAGGUGUUGGCCUUAGAGGGAUAUUUAAAGUCCAUAAUUAUGAGGGCCUUGGAUUCCGGCUAAGAAGAGAUUAAUUUCGUAAUUAUAACUUCCUGAAAUUCAUUGCAAAUCGUCACCUAAACGACGGUAUUUUUAAGGUAAACGAACACAUUAAAAGAGAAAGGACUUCAUCAUACAUAUAUAUUUUUCUCAUGUCAUUUAGAAAUAGUAGAUUCAGAGUCAAUUUUGAGGCCUGGGUAUACUACUUUUAGAUUUAUUUCGUUGUAAAGAAUUUUUGAGAAAAAUGUUAUUUUAUCUUACAGUAGACCUCACAGGGCCCCAGAAGCCUUACUUUAAAUCAAAGACCACAAUAAAAUGAAUAUGGAAAAAAAAGUCACAGGGAAGAAAAUAUAAAUUGAUUAUAGAAAUGUCUCAGUUCGUUUAGAGAACUUCUUUCUUUUCAGUAGGGUGUUAGAAGUGUUUGAUAGUUUAGAAUUCCGUGUUUAGACAUUUCCCCCGGAAGUACAGACCCCAUUUUUCCGUCUAAACUAAUUUCCCCUUCGGUCUCAUCCUCAGUACCUCCCCUUCCCUCGUAGACGACGAUCGCCAACAUAUCUUGAUCACGGUGUCUUACUCUUUCCCACUCUGAGCCACUCUGUCUUAACAGAGAAAACUCGCGUCUGAUUUAGAAGUAACUUGAACUAGUGUGAACUGUUCACUUUCUUUUCCUUCGGCUUUCUUGUUUUCAUCUUUUUCCUCCUAACUUUCAAGGUGUGUCCUCGCUUGUUGACGGUGACGACUCGUUAUUUGAGGGUCUAAACGAUCCGGAGACAAAGGACACACACACAUCUUCUGCAUGAAUCUUAUAGUUAGACAUUUUUUGAGGUGCCAAAAAGUCAGUAAAUAUAUGUGUCACAUGCUAUUUCAUCUUGUUGUUAUACUAUGUGUCACCAUUUUUUGCUAUCGACUACAUAGCAGUGGUGGCAGUGAGAGGGGCAGGUUAUACGUAGGCGCAUAUUCAUGGAUUAAAAAGUUAAUGGAAUCUUUUAAGAAUUGGAAUAAUUGAGCCAUUGAGAGUUAAAAGAUGUUACGUUUUCCGCCUCGUUGUGCCUUCACCUUUCUCUCUAACUGCCAUACAGAAUGGUUCUUAACAGAUAUUGUUGUUGAGAUUGUAGAUUCUGGUUGUUUAUGGUUCACAGAUCGGUUGAAAUUUUGCAUUUCUUCGUGGAUAUCACACUUUACACAUCGUCAGUAGGGUACCCCAAAUGAGACCAUACGAGAACUUGGUCUGGUAGCCUGUGUUCUUCCAGCAAUUAGAGAGUUUUGAAGUGUCCUGUUUGUGGUGGAGAGUCAGGUCAUCGCGACUUUCAUAGAAAACGGGUCAGUUUUUUUUUUGUACUGGUGGUGGUAGUGGAGCGAUUCGUUCCUGCUGUCAAAGAGUGGGAUAUUUUUGUCAUAAGUAAAAGAGGAUACACAAUUUACAACAAUUAGAGAAAAUAUGAACAUCAGAGAUUGCUAUUUUCCCCUGUUAGAAUAAAUAGGUCGACUUUUUCUCUGUAGGUGAAGACCUACCGAUGAGAGAACAAAUCGUUAUGGUUAACCUUAAGCUUAGGUUUACCCUCACUUAUUCACAACUCUAAACAAAAUUAGAAAAUAGCACAUGUACUUUAAGCUCUAUCCAUUAACCUCGAAAAAGACAAAGUAAUAAAUAAAUGACUAAAGGACUAUAUAGAUAAGACGAUUUGAGCAUAAUGGUUCAUAGGUUACCGCCAGCAACCUAAGGGGGAGAUGUUGUGACGAGACAAUGUUAGUAAUGAUCGUCGGAAUAUUUCGUUUUUACAUUAAUAGAGACAAGGUGUAGGUUAGUAUCCUCUUGUGACAAGUCGAGAUUAGGGAUUCUUGAGAUUGAGAUUAGUGAUUCUUUUGAGAGAGAGAGAGAAAGAGAGAGAGAGAGAGAGAGAGAGAGAGAGAGAGAGAGAGAGAGAGAGAGAGAGAGAGAGAGAGAGAGAGAGAGAGAGAGAGAGAGAGAGAGAGAGAGAGAAAGUGGUUUUAUUAACGUCACAGUAGUAUUGCUACAGAAAACGUUUGUUAAAUUUGAUGUUAUUUAAAGUAAUUAUAAUUAUUGAGAUUCAUCUGUCUUUAUUUUUGGGUAUGAUUCAUAAGAGAUAUUAUUUGCGCUUUGCCUAGGGUUCUCUUUAUAUGUACUAUGAUAAAUGUUAUGCAACACAGUAGUUGAAUUGCUGAUAAUGCCGUGGAGAUACGAUAAUAUAAUUUUCAACGUCCAAAUAUUAUUGAUUUAUACAUAUGAGCUAUUUUUUUUUUUGUUAAACUGUUGACUACUGAUAUAUGGUAUACCUGUGUUUGAUGGAGAUAUUAACUACUGAUAUUUUUGUAAUUUUACUACAUAAUGGACGCAUUUUUUGUUACACACUUUAUGGUCUUGGACUGAUCAAUGUUACAUUAUGUACACAACCGUAAACAUAGACCUAAUGUCCACUUAAACAAACAUGUACACAUCACACAUAUUUUUUUUGUGUGCACAUUGAUCAGUGACUGUUUUCUUAUAUGCAAACACCUGUAUUCAUCACCUGGUUAUUGUAUUAUGAAUGAACUAAGAUAUGCUGUGCGUGAUAGCGUUAAGAAUGGUAAAAGAGAGUGGAUGAAGUUGCAAAGGGGGGCGAAACUUGCAGUUGUGAAAGACAGCAAUGUAAAAUAUGUUUUUUUUUCUUUAAGAAAUGUUGAAGAUAAUUGCAACAAUUCUAAGAAUAGCAAAUUUGAUGGUAUGGGAAUAAUGAUGUUGGUAAUAAUGAUAAUGAUGAUGAUGAAGGUGAUGAUGAUGAUAAUGAUGAUGAUGAUGAUGAUGAUGAUGAUGAUGAUGAUGAUGAUGAUGA
rnacentral:misc_RNA from 1 species